CAGCUGUAGUUUUUAACCCGAAUAUGUCAUUUGGAGAAAAAUCCAAGGAGAAAAACAACUACAAAGACUCUUUCUUCCCUUAAGAAGAGAAGAAUAUAUGAGGUUGCCUUUCUCUUCUGCCAUCAUUGCCCCGGAAAGAAAGUGUCGAGCAGCCAAGUUCAGACCUUCUCUCUCUCUCUCCCUCUCUCUCUCUCUCUCUCUCUCUCAUACACACACAAACACACAGAGAUAGCCUGCCACGUCAGCACAUGAGCUCUCCUUUUAAGAGCUUGUAUUCCAAGAUUGAUUCCGUUCACCAUACCAUCUCAAUUCAUUCGAAAAAAGAAGAAGAAAAAAACAUCUGCUCUGGAACAUAUCUAGUGAAAAAAUGUGUUCUAACAAUGAAGAAAUGAUGCCUUCCCAUUCCUUCUUCUCUUUUGACAAAAGGCGACGACCGAGAAGAUCAAGAAUCCAAGUUCACAGGUUAGCAAGGUGGAGAGGUGAGCAAAAUGUGGAGAAGGACAUGGAACUACAGAACUGGAAGCUGUACUUUGAGAACCGAACUAUCAUUGAAGAGAAUGAGAAGCUGAGGAAGAAAGCUAAUCUUCUCCAUCAGGAGAACUUGGCCUUAUUGUUGGAAUUCCAGAAAAAGUUCCCUCAUCAACAUCGCAACCCACCAGUUGAUUGCACAGGUGCAAUUGAGGGCUGAUAUUGAAGGAUGCACUCUGCUAUGAUAAUUAAGCUUGUUAGAGGCUGAUAAAACGAAGAAUAUGAUAUACAGCAAGCGUGAGUUAGUGUACUUCUUUAAGGUAGAUGUGUUAUCCAGUCAUUGCCGUAUGUAUGAACCCCUCCCCUUAUGCUGGAUGCUGCCCCCUAAACUUAUAGUCUAAUCUUAGAGAUGGACUUUCACCAUGGUCAGAAACUAUGCAGCUUGAUGUGCAGGCAACUGAGUUCAUUGCAGUUUUAAUCCGGGGUAAUCAUGAAAUCUUUCGGUUAUUUUUUUUAGUUCAUAGAUAAAAAUUUUCCAUUGAGAAGAUAUUACGAAAGUUCAAGAAUUGCUGCUA